CCAAAUCUUCAGUUGGAUCUGCGAAUCCAAAAUUGCAGUCGAAUUUGAAGAAUAUAUAUGUAUGUAUCUUAACCUCUUUCCAACGAAUGAAAAAGGUACAAUACUAUGUGCAGCCAGGGACAUCAGGAUUGCAUCAACUGGUAUCGCUAUUUAAAUGCUUUAAUUUAGAACCAUGUUAUAUUGUGAAGUUUACUACAACGGUUUAUCCGGCCGUAUAUGUUACCGUACGUGUCCAAGAAGGCAAUAGGAUCACUAUGUCGUAAUCCUCUUCCCAUCGACACGAAAAUGCGACACUGAUUGGAGAAGUUGACGUAAAAGCGCCUCGUUACGCACAAGGAGCCUUUUAACAGGGUCACGCCAGAUUACCUCGUUUAUUUAUAGGCCGACGAAAAAAUUGAUCACGACACCGAUCGAACGACCCAGCUUUGAACUUUCGAACCGGACAGUAUCUUUAUAGUUUGGCUUACUAUUGACCAGUCUUCUCUCGACUAAUGAGGUCUUAACCUAACUUUCAUUGCCUGUACGGGUAACCUUAAUUGAUGGGAAACAUCAUUUCCAUCUUCUGUGAAAAGGUUAACACGUCGAAUGAAUUUCCGGUCUUUACGAGAAAUUUAGGAAUCCAGAAAUUUUUUCGUAGUUUACUCGGAGAAGUUGAUACGACCGGUUCCUACGUUUCCGGUACACGUAGUAAGAGAGGAAACGAUAAAAGGGUAUGACGGUACAGUUGCGCUACGUGAGUUUAGUUCGGAAAGUUUUAUCGGUCAAAGUUGCCGGAUACUGAGGAUUUCGAAAUUCGAUUCUCUCAACUCGGGAGAGAACCCGCUAUCCGUAAAACGAACGAUUGUUUGACAUGGAUUAUUAACGAUCUGUCUGACGAUAGAACGAUAGAAAUUCAAGAAGAAAAUUUCCAUUUUCUUCAUAUGUAAACGAACCAUAUUCUCAUUUUGCUUAUACCGGAGAAAAACAAAAGAACCAUUAUUCGUGUAAUGACCUACAUUUAGCUAGGAGGUUGGUAUAUUUCAUUGAUGGCCGGAAAGCUGAUACGGUUUAACCGGUUUCAGCGCGUAGCACGCGCCAAUAAAGUAUACACACUCGCUGUGCGUAACAGUACCUUUUAAUAAUUACACCAACAAGACGAAUUUAAUUUUAACCGUGAAACAGGUUCUUGUGUACCUGUGAAUGCUGUUUACAUACGCUUUUCUUGUACUAAAUGGAUCUUUCAAUUAUUCGAAGGAUAAAAUCUGACAUUCUGAAGAAAUAUAAUCUAAUGGUAUUUCUCUUUGCACGAGCAUUCCUGCAAAUGAUUAUCGACCGAGUCAUAAAUCUUUGUAAAAAUGGGCGGGGACCAUUUCAUUUGUGGCACGUUUUACGAGAGACCUCUACAAUCCCUACGGAGGGAACGGCAAACCAUUUGCGGAUCGUUUCAUUCGAUUCGUCGCCGACGGUGCCUCUAUUGGAUAAGCAAUUGCAAGUGCAAACAUUUGCUCGCAAUCAUUUAUGCUCGCUGGUGUGGGCAUCAUGAGUGAAUGUCUCACCAACCUUGGCUUUCGCUGAAUCUUGACUGGAAAUUGCGUUUGAACUGAGAAUGUUUACCGAUGUUACAUUCAUUGUUCACAGAACCAUUAUCCAAAGAUAGAAUAAUCUUCAUGGGAUAUCUGCAUAACCAAGAUAUAGGAAGAUGUACAACUGAAGUAGGUUAGGAAUAUGCUUCCACUAACCUAUAUUCUCUCAUGGUCUCGCUCGUCCAGUGGAAAUGCAUCAUUACGUUCUGAGGCGUUCGUCGUACAAUGUCACCAACGCUGUCACGAUUCUCAUGCACACAUGCGUAAUUACUCCGGUGACUGAAGCACGUCAAUUCGGGCUACACUACACGUAGCAUUAAAACUCUCAUGGCGCGGUGUAGGUUUGGCCGUUAGUUUGUAAAACCGCGAAGCGUGGUGUGAGCAACAUAUGAGUCGAUACAUGCAAGCUUUACCAGGGAUAAAAAAAAUCCAUUGCAUUUUACUUAACUUUUUCAGUGGCCACCAACAAGUUUUAUUAAACCGUCGUUCGCAUUUUUACGGAGGGAAGGGAUAUAUACGUAGACCGACGAACGAAUAGCCCUUUUCGCGAGGCAUUAUAUGCGUUCCCGCCUCGAUUUACCAGCUGCUCAGGGAGUUAGACGAAAGUUGAACGAGAAUCAGGCCUAUACAUAAUACGAGGGCCGUUGCAUAACGCGUUGGCGUUGCCAUCGCGUCUAAAGCUCAAAAACGCGUUACUUCAGAAUCCAUCUCCUUACAGCUUUAUGCAGCAUUUACAAGACAAGUAGCGCACUCGCGCGAUUUACCCAGACGAAAAUCACUUAAGCUUCUUUUGUCCGCGCUGUUUCAGCGAUUCAAACGUAUACUUGAAAAUAUAUAUUUUUAACGGAUCUGACGCGCAUGUGAAUGUACCAUUCGGUCGAUAUAAAAAUGCGUUUCGAUUAAAAGCAAACAGACAAACUUGGCUAAGACU